UUCCCGUCGUGGCUCAGCAGUUAACGAACCCAACCAGCAUCCAUGAAGAUGCAGGUUCGAUCCCUGGCCUCGCUCAGUGGGUUAAAUAUCUGGUGUUGCCCUGAGCUGUGAUGUAGGUCGCAGACACAGCUAGGAUUCAUAGUUGCUGUGGCUGUGGCAUAGGCUGGCGGCUACAGCUCCAAUUGGACCUCUAGCCUGGGAACCUCCAUACCGAGGGUGUGGCCCUAAAAAGACAAAAACAACAACAAGAACAAAAAUAUUGGAUUAUUUGACUCUAUUUUAUUCUGAAUACUCCAGUUCCAUUUGUAUUUAUUUACUUAUGAAGAAUUGAGGAAACCAUAUGAGUGAAAGAAAAUUUAUAGCAUAUGUUCAUCUUUAUGGAGAAAUGUAAAAUCCAUAUUAACAUCAUCAAUAUAACUAAAAUAUUAUUUCUAUAUUUACAAAACCAACAGAAAUUGCUUAUAAAUUUUUUCCUUAACUUUUGUUUUUAAGGUAUAAAGCAGCUAUUGUUCAUCAGAUACCGAUCUCUCAGACCUUUCCCUUAGUGUUUUUGAGUUCAGUGUCUAUGAGAUUCUUAGAUGCUGGGGAAAUGAUUCCCCAGAUUUGUAUUUCAAAAGUAGUUUAGUAAUUUUGUUGAAAAUGAAAAAAAGAUUACAGUCACAUUGAAACUUUCCUUUCUUGUUCUUUUAUCUAUAGCAGUGGGAAAACUAUAUGAACAUUCUGAGUGAAAAGGAUAUUUGGUAUUUUAGUAACUGUUCAACAAAUUAUUUUAAAAGUUGAGGUAGACUGUACACUUAAAAGACAGUUAAAUCGGGAGUUUCAAUCGUGGUUCAGUAGUACGAACCCAGCUAACAUCCUUGAGGAUGCGGGUUUGAUCCCUGGCCUUGCUCAGUGAGUUAAGUAUCUAGAAUUGCCUUGAGCUGCCCUGUAGGUGGCAGAUGCAGCUCGGAUCUGGUGUUAUUGUGACUGUGGUGUAGGCUGACAGCUGCAGCUCUGAUUUGACCCUUAGCCUGGGAACCUCCAUAUGCCACAGGUGUGGUGCUAAAAAGCAAAUAUAUAAAUAAAUAAAUAAAACAAUUAAAUCUUAUAAGUAUUUUAUCACAACAGAAAAGGUUGAAAAAAGUUAAGGUAGAAUUAGACAUAUAUAUGGCUGUGCAUCUUUUAGAUACAUUAUUAAAUUUGCCACUUUACUUGUUGCAUGUAGACCGGUUGACUCUACAGUUUACCUUACCUCCAUGAUCUGCCUGCAGGAUUGCUAAGGGAGAUGCUGGGGGAAGAGAGCUAGUCAUUUUUAUACUGCUUAAUUCUUUAUUCUUGCUUCUUUUUAUCUAGGAAAAGAAUCAACAGGUUAAUUAGGUUCUUUAAAGGUUAGAGGGGAACAGAAGAAGCCAAACAGGAAAGGGGCCAGAGAGCUGCUUUCAACAUGUUAACUUAAUAGUAUUUUGGAUAUAUUGAGUUAAAUAAAAUAUAUAAAUAAAGUUAAUUUCAUCUAUUUACUUUUACUUUUUUUGACCACACCUACAGCAUGUGGAAGAUCCUGGGCCAGGGACUGAACCCAUGCCACAGCAGUGACAAUGCCAGAUCCCCAACCCACUGCACCACCAGGGAAUUCCUGUGUUUACUUUUUUAAAUGUGGCUACUAAAACAUUGAAAAUUAUACUCAUAGUGGGCGCUCUAUUUCUGAUGGGCAGUCUUGCUCUGGACAGUCUUUUUUAUAGCAGGAAGAGCUUAGUUCACUGUGUCUGCACAUCCUGGGGAAGGGCAGGAGAAGGCCGAUGUGGGCAGUUCUCCCAGAAAAGGAAAACCUCAAGCCUAAAAGUCAAGAAAUCAUUCUUAUAAUGGGACACUGAAAUAUUUGUCUCGAACUGUUUGACUCCAAAAUCUGCUCCAAAGGCAUCAUUUUAUGAGGUUUUACUUUCUAGGUUUAACCAAGAAAGCUUAAUCCUCUGACACGUCUCCCAAUAAUUUACCCAAACUAUUUGAAAAGGAAUUUUCCAAUGUGGACAAAAACAGUAUGGUAUUUUUCCUUCUUGAAUAGAAUUUUAUGAAAUUUAUGGAAAUACUUCUAUGUUACUUUUUUUUUUUUUUAAUAGAGCAAAGUAACAGUAAGGCCGAAACUAUUUGUUUCAUACCCUGGCCUUUGUCCGUGUAUGCAGAAAAUGAAUACACAGACAGGAUAUUUUCAAUUACUCAUUUCCUUUGUUUACAUGUCACAUUGAGAUUCAUCGUGCUACCUCUUUCAGCCCUCUCAAGUCCCCCUCGUUUCUUCAGAACACAACUCCAAUCUCAAGCCUCAAGCCUUGUACCAAAUCCCAGAUGCUUUCUAGCAUGAAAGAGAAAUCACACGAAUAUUUACGUCCUUCCUGAUUUGCAGUUGCAAUUGGGUUUGAUUACAAAUCCCCAUCAAUUGUCCCCCAUCCUUCUGCUUCAGCUUCUCCCUCUCCUUCCUCCACGUGCGCGCGCGCACACACACACACACACACACACACACACCCCUUCCCUCCCUUCUUCUCUUUCUCUAGUGUUUCUGAUGAGCCAAGUGUUGGAAGCUCUCAGACUUUGUGCCCUCUAUGUUUAUAACUUUAAGUGUGUAUCCAGACAGUUUGCCUUGUUCUCAAAGAAAACCAGAGCUUGGAAUUUUGGGAAGCAAAUCUGGUAGGUUUGUGAGCUUGUUGAAAAUUUAGUAAACGGAAGCUUCUGAGAAAUGUGGGGUCAACAAAUUCAAAAGAAAAAAAAAGGAGUUCCCGCCGUGGUGCAGUGGUUAACAAAUCCGACUGGGAACCAUGAGGAUGAGGGUUCACCAUUGCCAUGAGAUGUGGUGUAGGUCACAGAUGCAGCUCAGAUCUGGCAUUGCUGUGGUUGUGGUGUAGGCCAGUAGCUGUAGCUCCGAUUCGACCCCAGCCUGGGAACUUCCAUUUGCCACACAUGCGGCC
rnacentral:lncRNA from 1 species